UCGCUUCACUCGCAUGAACCCUAGAAACAUGGGUCUAGAGUCUAGAUGUAUUGCUUCCCAUCGUUCAUCUCGGGUGAUUACUGGAUUAGGCUGUUAUACUUAUUCGCGCGCAUCUACUGCUAGCAAUUCAACCACUAUGAUUUGUUUGCUGCCAUUUUUCGGGAUCUGAGGUAUUCAUUUCGUUUCAAGCAUACCACAUCGUUCAGUCGCUUCCUUAAGCUGGAAUAAUACUGGAAACUCCAUUGAUGACCAGCUUCGCGCUAUGUCGUUCCAAUUCCUGAAUGAUCAUCCCUUGGGAUGCUUCACACUUGUGUGGACGCAAAGACACGUCUGAGGAGUUGAGGUUGCUUUGUUAGUGGGCUCAAUGGUUGGGGAACUCUUCUUAAUUCAGUGCACUCUUUCAGUUUUUGGUUUGAUUUCCAAACUGUUAAGUACUGUCAGCAUUUGAUUGAAUUUGAUACCGCAAGCAAAUACUUGCAGUACUUCAAAUGUGGGUCCGUUUGUACCUAUUUCUAGUUUGAAGUAGGGCAGUGUACUCAAUUGCUUCCUUGUUGUGAGGUAUACUCCAGUGAUGACUUAUUUAACCUCGUAUAUCGUUCCAAUUUCUGAAAGCGCAUCCAUAGGAUGCUGCACAUUAUGUGGAGCAGAAGGGACAUCUGAGGAGUUUAAUUCAUUUUUUUCUCGCUUGCUUUCUUGACAAACUUUUUUUCGGUGUUCUCUUGAGACUUUUUGUUUGAUUCUCAAACUAUUUCAUGUUGCCAGCAAUUGGUUGAAUUUGACGCCAAAAGUGAACAUGUUUAGAGCUUCAAAUGGCUCCUUUUUUCAAGAUUUCUUGCUUGAAAUGAUGCAAUGUACCAAUCAGCUUCCUUGAGGUGUGGGCAAUUUGGUUUGAUUCUAAUAUUUUCCAUGGUGCUUGACACUUUUUUUUGUGAAUUUGAUACUGACAAGCUAACAUGUGUGUAGGUUCAAAUUUGAUUAUUUUUUAGAAGUUUCUGGUUUGGGUUUUGGUUAAUUUCUGGGUGGUGAUGUAACUUACUGGGGAACUUUCAAAAUUUCAUUAGCAAUACGACUUGACGAGCCAAAUCAUGGAUUACAGACACACUAGGUAUUGGCUGUGUUGGUCCAGCUGGUACAAACUCUAGGUUUUCACUCACAGAACUGCACUGCUCAAUGGUUGGGGAGCUCUUCUUAAUUCAGUGCGCUCUUUCAGUUUUUGGUUUGAUUUCCAAACUGUUAAGUACUGUCAGCAUUUGGUUGAAUUUGAUACCGCAAGAAAAUACUUGCAGUACUUCAAAUGUGGUUCUGUUUGUACCUAUUUCUAGUUUGAAGUAUUGCAGUGUACUCAGUUGCUUCCUUGUUGUGAGGUAUACUCCAGUGAUGACUUAUUUCACCUCGUAUAUCGUUCCAAUUCCUGAAGGCACUUCCAUAGGAUGCUGCACAUUAUGUGGAGCAGAAGGGACAUCUGAGGAGUUCAAUUCAUUGUUCUUCUCGCUUGCUUUCUUGACAACCUUUUCUUUUUGGUGUUCUCUUGAGACUUUUGUUUGAUUCUCAAACUAUUUCUUGUUGCCGAUAAUUGGUUAAAAUUUGAUGCCGAAAGUGACAAUGUUUAAAGCUUCAAACGGUUCCUUUUCAAGAUUUAUUGCUUGAAAUGGUGCAAUGUACCAAUCUGCUUCCUUGAGGUGUGGGGAGUUUGGUUGAUUCUAAUAUUUUCCAUGAUGUUUGACAGUUUUUUGAAUUUGAUACCGACAAGCUAACAUGUGUGUAGCUCCAAAUUUGAUUAUUUUUACAAAUAUCUGGUUUGCUUUUUGGUUAAUUUCUGGCUGGUGACGUAACUUACUGGGGAACUUUCAAACGUUUCAUGAGCAAUACGAGUUGACGAGCCAAUUCAUGAAUUACAGACACACUAGGUAUUGGCAACGUUGGUCCAACUGGUACGAACUCUAGGUUUUCACUCACAGAACUGCAGUGCUCAAUGGUUUGGGAACUCUUCUUAAUUCAGUGCGCUCUUUCAGUUUUCGGUUUGAUUUUCCAAACUGUUAAGUACUGUCAGCAUUUGGUUGAAUUUGAUACCACAAGCAAAUGCUUGCAGUACUUCAAAUGUGGUUCCGUUUGUACCUAUUUCUAGUUUGAAAUAGUGCAGUGUACUCAAUUACUUAUUUUUUGUGAGGUAUACUCCUGUGAUGACUUAUUUCGCCUCGUAUAUCGUUCCAAUUCCUGAAAGCACAUCCAUAGGAUGCUGCACAAUAUGUGGAGCAGAAGGGACAUCUGAGGAGUUGAAUUCAUUUUUUUUCUCGCUUGCUUUCUUGACAACCUUUUCUUUUUGGUGUUCUCUUGAGACUUCUGUUUGAUUCUCAAAAUAUUUCAUGUUGCCGACAAUUGGUUAAAAUUUGAUGCCGAAAGUGAAAAUGUUUAAAGCUUCAAAUGGUUCCUUUUCAAGAUUUAUUGCUUUAAAUGGUGCAAUGUACCAAUCUGGUUCCUUGAGAUGUGGGGAAUUUGGUUUGAUUCUAAUAUUUUCCAUGAUGUUUGACACUUUUUUGAAUUUGAUACUGACAGGCUACAUGUGUGUAGCUUCAAAUUUUAUUAUUUUUUUAAAUUUCUGGUUUGGGUUUUGGUUAAUUUCUGGGUGGUGACAUAAAUUACUGGGGAACUUUCAAACAUUUCAUGAGAAAUACGACUUGACGAGCCAAUUCAUGAAUUACAGACACACUAGGUAUUGGCAACAUUGGUCCAACUGGUACAAACUCUAGGCGUUCACUCACAGAACUGUACUGCUCAAUGAUUGGGGAACUCUUCUUAAUUCAGUGCGCUCUUUCAGUUUUCGGUUUGACUUCCAAACUGUUAAGUACUGUCAGCAUUUGGUUGAAUUUGAUACGACAAGAAAAUACUUUCAGGACUUCAAAUGUGCUUCCGUCUGUACCUAUUUCUAGUUUGAAAUAGUGCAGCGUAUUCAAUUGCUUCCUUGUUGUGAGGUAUACUCCAGUGAUGACUUAUUUCAUCUCGCAUAUCGUUCCAAAUCCUGAAAGCACAUUCAUAGGAUGUGCACAUUAUGUGGAGCAGAAGGGACAUCUGAGGAGUUCAAUUCAUUUUUUUCUCGCAUGCUUUCUCGACAACUUUUUUUCCAGUGUUCUCUCGCGCCUUUUGUUUGAUUCUCUAACUAUUUCGCAUUGCCGGCAAUUGGUUGAAUUUGACGCCAAAACUGAACAUGUUUAGAGGUUCAAAUGGUUCCCUUUUCAAGAUUUAUUGCUUGAAAUGGUGCAAUGUACCAAUAUGCUUCCUUGAGGUUUGGGGAAUUUGGUUUGAUUAUAGUAGUUUCCAUGAUGUUUGACACUUUUUUUGAAUUUGAUACUGACAAGCUAACAUGUGUGUAGCUUUAAAUUUGAUUAUUUUUUCAUAAUUUCUUGUUUGGUUUUUGGUUAAUUUCCGGGUGGUGACGUAACUUACUGGGGAACUUUCAAACAUUUCAUGAGCAAUACGACUUGACGAGCCAAAUCAUGAAUUACAGACACACUAGGUUUGGAAAAAGCAACACUGGGUAUUACCAUGUGUGGUCCAUUGUAGACUUCAACUCAUCAUCUGCUCUGCACCUUUAUGAUAAUCCCAAUAGAAGCAUUUUCUUCUCUCCAGAGUUAGUGAGACACACUAGGUUUGGAAAAAGCAACACUGGGUAUUACCAUGUGUGGUCCAUUGUAGACUUCAACUCAUCAUCUGCUCUGCACCUUUAUGAUAAUCCCAAUAGAAGCAUUUUCUUCUCUCCAGAGUUAGUGACCCAGUUUCUGUUAAGCUCCCACAGCAUUCUUUAAGUUGAGAUGCCAUCUCAGAUGACACAUAGAUGAUUGGUGGCCCUGAUGCUUGAAUAGCCGAGCAAUAUUUGAGGGUCCAGUUUUGUUUAUGGUGGGAUUGAGACCAUCAAGAUUGUCCUCCAGCAGGCAGGUCCAUUCGGGUGACCUACACUAGAUGAGAAACUGCCAAUAAAGACAGGGGAAACAUGCUGAGAGGGUAAGUCAUCAUAGUUUGCCUGCAAAGCUCGUGUGGUGUGAAGGUCAAGCAUGAAGCCAGGGGUGGAAUGUGCUUGCAAGCAGGUUCAGCGAGCCCAUGCAAAAUUGUUUCUAGGGUCUGUUAUCUCUCAGCAGCAGGGUAGUGAGCAGCCCCAGCCUGGCAUCAUUGAAGGCCAACAGCAGUCUUGGCCAUCAUUAUAUACUAGUAUAACAUUGCUGUUCUCCACCUCGCAUGCCAAUCCCAGUCACAUUGUUCAGUGGUUUCUCAGACUUGAAGAUGUGUGCCCAUCCAUAACGGCAUUCCAGAGUGCAACCAUUAAGAUCGCCUUCGAUUUAAGAAAGCAGUUUGGAAAGCCACAAGAAUCCAUGCCACUUUUACAAAUUUGACAUCUGAUCUACUACUUAAAAGGAUUUCAUUUUGCAGACAGCUGUUCCAAAGAAACUGCUUGCAAUGUGUAUCCAGAUGUCUUACAAGGUGAACGGGGAAGACAGGUUGGAUCAAGGCCAAGUUAGCGAUUUGCCUCCUGGAUUAUAGUGCCUUUUUGUGCGUACCGUAUAGCAUGUUGUGACAGUUGUCUUCAUAUCACAUGUUCGGGGGCAGAGGGAAGACUUCGUAUACUCGUUCAAAUGACAUGUUUGUCCAUCAUUUUACCCAACAUAUUGGAUAGUUGUAGUUGUAGCAGUAUGUCACAUGAGAGGAUAAUAAAAUUUGUUCGACCUCAUCCUUCGAUUAUAGCAGCAGCAAAGGAAAACUGGGGUACUCCUUCCUCAUUGCAAAUAUUUGUACUUUUGUUGUAACUUACACCCUCCGUCCCUUAAUAUAAGACGUUAGUACAUCUAA